GGCGGCGUGCUUAACACAUGCAAGUCGAGCGGAAAGGCCCUUCGGGGGUACUCGAGCGGCGAACGGGUGAGUAACACGUGAGUAACCUGCCCCUAGCUCUGGGAUAAGCCCGGGAAACUGGGUCUAAUACCGGAUAUCACACAUUUUCGCAUGAGGGUGUGUUGAAAGUUUUUCGGCUGGGGAUGGACUCGCGGCCUAUCAGCUUGUUGGUGGGGUGAUGGCCUACCAAGGCGACGACGGGUAGCCGGCCUGAGAGGGCGACCGGCCACACUGGGACUGAGACACGGCCCAGACUCCUACGGGAGGCAGCAGUGGGGAAUAUUGCGCAAUGGGCGGAAGCCUGACGCAGCGACGCCGCGUGGGGGAUGAAGGCCUUCGGGUUGUAAACCUCUUUCACCACCGACGAAGCUAACGUGACGGUAGGUGGGGAAGAAGCGCCGGCUAACUACGUGCCAGCAGCCGCGGUAAUACGUAGGGCGCAAGCGUUGUCCGGAAUUAUUGGGCGUAAAGAGCUCGUAGGCGGUCUGUUGCGUCUGCCGUGAAAACCCGAGGCUUAACCUCGGGCCUGCGGUGGAUACGGGCAGACUAGAGGUAGGUAGGGGAGAAUGGAAUUCCCGGUGUAGCGGUGAAAUGCGCAGAUAUCGGGAGGAACACCGGUGGCGAAGGCGGUUCUCUGGGCCUUACCUGACGCUGAGGAGCGAAAGCGUGGGGAGCGAACAGGAUUAGAUACCCUGGUAGUCCACGCCGUAAACGUUGGGCGCUAGGUGUGGGGUUCUUCCACGGAUUCCGCGCCGUAGCUAACGCAUUAAGCGCCCCGCCUGGGGAGUACGGCCGC
rnacentral:rRNA from 1 species